rnacentral:rRNA from 1 species
UACGUAGGGUGCGAGCGUUAAUCGGAAUUACUGGGCGUAAAGCGUGCGCAGGCGGUGAUGUAAGUCCGAUGUGAAAUCCCCGGGCUUAACCUGGGAACUGCAUUAGUGACUGCAUCGCUCGAGUAUGGCAGAGGGGGGUAGAAUUCCACGUGUAGCAGUGAAAUGCGUAGAGAUGUGGAGGAAUACCGAUGGCGAAGGCAGCCCCCUGGGUCAAUACUGACGCUCAUGCACGAAAGCGUGGGGAGCAAACAGG